UACGAGGGGGGCAAAUGUUGUUCGGAAUCACUGGGCGUAAAGGGCGCGUAGGCGGGCUUUUAAGUUGGAUGUUUAACCCCGGGGCCCAACCCCGGAUCGGCAUCCAAAACUGGAAGUCUUGAAUAGUGGAGAGGACGACGGAAUUGGGGGUGUAGCGGUGGAAUGCGUAGAGAUCCCCAAGAACACCAGUUGCGAAGGCGGUCGUCUGGACACAUAUUGACGCUGAGGCUCGAAAGCAUGGGGAGCAAACAGG
rnacentral:rRNA from 1 species